GGAAAGUUACUCAAGAGGCUGAAGAGGAUGCCCUGCUAAGGCAUUAGACCGAGUAAUCGGUGCGAGGGUUCAAAUCCCUCACUUUCCA
rnacentral:tRNA from 1 species